rnacentral:piRNA from 1 species
UGGAAAACCGAUCUGACUACA